rnacentral:rRNA from 1 species
GACGAACGCUGGCGGCGUGCUUAACGCAUGCAAGUCGAACGAUGAAGCGGUGCUUGCACCGUGGAUUAGUGGCGAACGGGUGAGUAAUACGUGAGUGACCUACCUUUGACUCUGGGAUAAGCCUGGGAAACUGGGUCUAAUACCGGAUACGACCAAUCUCUGCAUGGGGUGUUGGUGGAAAGCGUUAUGGAGUGGUUUUAGAUGGGCUCACGGCCUAUCAGCUUGUUGGUGAGGUAAUGGCUUACCAAGGCGACGACGGGUAGCCGGCCUGAGAGGGUGACCGGCCACACUGGGACUGAGACACGGCCCAGACUCCUACGGGAGGCAGCAGUGGGGAAUAUUGCACAAGGGGCGCAAGCCUGAUGCAGCGACGCCGCGUGAGGGAUGACGGCCUUCGGGUUGUAAACCUCUGUUAGCAUCGAAGAAGCGAAAGUGACGGUAGGUGCAGAGAAAGCGCCGGCUAACUACGUG